CUUUGCCAGACACCCCGCAGAGUUUAUGAACUCAAUCCUUGAGCCAUUCCUUAAAAUAAGCAGUGUUCUCUCAUUGUCACAGAUGAGGAAACAGAGGCCUAGAGAGCAUCAAUUCUUGCCUGAGAUCAUGCAGCAAUCCAGCGAACCUCAAGGGGUCUGCACCUAAAUCGUUGCUCUGCAGCCAGCCGCACUGCAUCCCAGCCCACAGGGACACCAGGAGCUCGGGGAAGGAAGAAGUGAAGGACUCUGGAUCUGUGAGCGCCAUGCUAGUGAAGGGCCCCUGUGCACAUCCUCGCCUGAGCCCGUAUUAUGCUUUCCCUUGGCUGCUAGGAAAGAAGUGGACGGACACAGGAGGAGCAGGUCAGAGGCCAGAUCACCAGUGGGGGCACAUUCCAGCCGGCCUUUCAAGUGGCCGUUUGUUCUCUGAAUGUUACACUGGAAGGGGAUAAUUGGAGAGUCUGGGUAAGCUGGUGAGGGAACGAGGGCUUCUCCUAAGGA
rnacentral:lncRNA from 1 species